rnacentral:rRNA from 1 species
GAUGAACGCUAGCGGGAGGCCUAAUACAUGCAAGUCGAGCGGUAGAGUGACUUCGGUUGCUUGAGAGCGGCGCACGGGUGAGUAACGCGUACAUGACCUACCUUUAAGACUGGGAUAGCCCUGGGAAACUGGGAUUAAUACCGGAUGUGAUAGUACGUAUAGAGAUGUAUUAUUAAAGUUGAGGCGCUUAGAGAUGGAUGUGCGUCUGAUUAGCUAGUUGGUAGGGUAACGGCCUACCAAGGCGACGAUCAGUAGGGGGCGUGAGAGCGUGGCCCCCCANACGGGUACUGAGACACGGACCCGACUCCUACGGGAGGCAGCAGUAAGGAUA